GGUGCUGGCUGAGGUGUGUCAGUGAUUGCCACGGGCUGCACCCCUCACUGUUGCCCGAGGUCACCCAAGGUCACCCAAGGUCAAUGGGAAAUAUCCAGGGAUGAUGGUGGAUCCUGGAAGCGCCUCACAACAGCUACCUUCAGCCCAGGACGACUUUGGAAGGCCUAAAGUUUGAACCAAAAAUGGAGCCCCUGCCCCUCUCCCCAUGUUGGAUUCAAAUUGAAAAGCUACACGGAAUGAAUGCUAUGGAUAAACUGCUGAAGAUAGCUCCUGUCCAUUUGACUCUCAAGGGUGUCUUCUUUCACGUUGAAGAACAGGAGACAACCAAAAUGUGAAAUGUAUGCUGAAGCCAACCAGAACAUCAAAGGACAGUCACAAGCACUAACCAUGAAGCUAUAUUUCUACUAAUACAUUCUUUUAAAAAAAAAUAAAAAA
rnacentral:antisense_RNA from 1 species